AUGUCGCUAAAGGACGACUAUGUUGAAGGGGAGAAUGAUGGGAAAGUUCAGGAGGACUGCCUACAGAAGUUCUCCAGCAGAGAUUACAUCAUGGAGCCUGCUGUAUUCAACACCCUUAAAACAGUCAAACUAUUUCCUGCAGAGGCUCUGUUUCCACAGUUAUUUCAGGCUGGUGGCUCCCCUGAACACGUCAUCCAGCUCCUGUCUGUAGCCCAGACUGUCAACCUGCUGGCAGAGUGGCUCAUCCAGAUGGGUGUAGAUCCAGCUCAGGUGCAGGAACGGGUAGAGAAUCACUUGAAGAGUCUGCUGAUUAAGCACUUUGACCCCCAGAAGGCUGACUCCAUCUUUACCGUGGAGGGAGAGACUCCUGCCUGGCUGGAACAGAUGAUCGCCCACACCACCUGGAGAGACCUUUUCUACAAGCUGGCCGAGGCCAACCCUGACUGUCUGAUGCUCAACUUCACUGUCAAGCUCAUCUCAGACGCGGGCUACCAGGGGAGAUCACCAGUGUGUCCACGGCGUGCCAGCAGCUGGAGGUGUUCGUCAGGGUCCUGAGAACUUCUCUGGCCACACUGCUGGAUGGAGGAGAGGACAACCUGGAGAAGAACCUGCCAGAGUUAGCUAAGAUGGUGUGUCACGGUGAGCACACUUACCUGUUUGCCCAGGCCAUCAUGUCUCAGGAGGAGCUGGGAGGGUCGGCCAUGUGCAGGAUCGGCCAGGAAGUACAGAAGUCUACACCAUUUUGCCAGUGUAGGAUUUGAUUGCCCCACCGUACACUUCGGACUUUGUCCAGCUGUUCCUGCCCAUCCUGGAGAACGACAGCAUCGCUGGAACCAUUCGGACUGAAGGAGAACAUGACCCUGUUGCGGAGUUCAUAGCCCACUGCAAAUCCAACUUCAUCAUAAUGAACUGAGAAUGACACUGGUUCGGUUUAACUUGACUGAGGAUGUAGCGGGAAGACCAGGAUCUUUUGGUUAUGAGCCAAUCCCUGGAUGUGUUCUGCUGAAUGAGGACUGGAACAUUGCCGAUUGAGGCUGACCACUUGGGUGUAGACUUUCAUCUGCAACUUUUUAUUUUCAAAUGUGGUGUAAACACAUGACUCAGAAUUAGGAUGUUGUGUAUUAUUGCUUGUCUGGGGGUAUGUGGAGAACUUGUGCAGCUCCAUUCAUUUCACUGUAGUUUCCAUUAGUGUGAGUUAAAGUUUAGGUCUGUUAAUAUGUAUGUAUGACUGACUGCUCAAAAGGUUUGGCCUUUUUCAUGGUUGCCUUUUUCAAUUUGACAAGAAUCAUGACACAUCUUGGUUUUAUUAGUUCCAGACGUAGCGACUUCCACCAUUCUGCAGCAUUUAUUGAGGUGGUUCAGAAAAUGUAUCAACUAUUAAAACAAGUUUCUGUAACAGGCCUGGAUUCAAACAAAUUAACUGUGGAAACCGUCAUGAAGACAAGCAUAAAUUACCUUUAAGCUAAGUGCAGUGAGAUGUCAGUGCAUUUGUUUGAACCCUGGCCUUGCUUUCAGAAUACUGAAAUCAUUCAGUUAAAUUUGCAUACAACAAAAGACAAGUGGCAUCAGAAUUGAUCAAAGCUUCAACAUUUACAGCCACAAUUAAUUCUUCCUAGCCUUUUGAGCUUAAGCUAAAUUGUGCACCUAAUAUCAGCCUUUGUACUUGUUCAAAAGAAAGUACAUGACUUGUUCAGUAACAUUUUGUAUAAGAAAAAGAUCCGAAAGCACAUCAAGGCAACAUUUUUUUAAAUAACUUCCCUCUUCCUGAUUUCACCAUGGUACAUUGUUACAAUGUGGAAGUAGCCUGAGAUUGUAUAUCUAUAGUUUUCUAUGACAAUGCUGCCUAUUAACAGCUUCAGGGGCCUCGUUUAUAAAUGCUGCCUAGAUGUAAAAGUUGGCAUUCAUAAAAACUGAAAAUGUGCUUACCUCCAUGCAAACACACAUUUUGUAGUG